GGACUACUAGGGUUUCUAAUCCCGUUUGCUCCCCUGGCCUUCGUACUUCAGCGUCAGGAACUGUCUAGAGACCCGCCUUCGCCACUGGUCUUCCUUACGAUAUCUACGCAUUUCACUGCUACACCGUAAAUUCCAGUCUCCUCUCCAGUCCUCAAGCACGGCAGUAUCGAAUGCAGUUUCGGAGUUAAGCCCCGAGAUUUCACACCCGACUUACCGCGCCGCCUACGCACCCUUUACGCCCAAUGAAUCCGAACAACGCUUGAGACCUCUGUAUUACCGCGGCGGCUGGCAC
rnacentral:rRNA from 1 species